AUCCCGCUAAAACGCCGGGCAUUCCGUGUAAAUUGUGGACGCCACAAGUGUCAUGGAUCCGCAAAUGUUUUUGUAUCAAUGGCUGCAAGAAGAGGAUGGGAACAGAUGGAUAUGUCGGUGUACUAGUAUGAAUACAAUGUUCAAGAGGACCUACUUACCCUUGAAGAGACAGGAGUGCCUCGCCGUUUUCCUUAAUAUGAACAACCCCGUCGCAGAGCAAGGCCACUUGAACGAGGAUGGCGCCGACGAGAAAGGUCAAUCCUAUUGCACUUUGACCAUAACGUCGUAGAAAUGUCAUCAGGAAGCCAAAGCCGAUCCAUAUCAUCACGUGGACAUCUUGAUACACUGUACGUUUUAGGGGAGGAACCAAAUAAGAUGGAUGAAUGGCAUGCGGUUAAUUCAGCGUUACUAAGCUGUGGUUAUUAUUCUCAAAAAAGAAAAAAUAAUAGUAAUUGGCGCCUAUACGUAUGUACAUUCACGCUUCUGCAUGGACAAGAUAUAAGGAAAGAACUUACGCGUAUACGUGACUGGCAAGAUACUCGGUUUCCCGUUUAAAUGUUCUGAGAUACUGUUUUCCUUGUUUUCGGCAUUGGCCUCAGGGGCGUAAUCGAAGGUCGCCAGGAAGCCGCAAAGGAGAAAACCCUCGAUAAAGAGGAGCGUUAUGCCAUACCAUUGAACCUGGUGCAGUGCUGUUGAAAUAUUACACUAGGAUCUAAGGAUUAUCCUGAUGGCACUUUAUUAAUUCUGAACUGGCUACUGUGAACUUACAAUAAAGACUCUUGGAUUUCUUUCAACGAACAUGGAAU